AUACGUAGGGGGCGAGCGUUGUCCGGAGUUACUGGGCGUAAAGGGCACGCAGGCGGCCAGUCAAGUCAUGGGUGAAAUACCGGGGCUUAACCUCGGGGGUGCCUGUGAAACUGGGUGGCUUGAGGGUCGGAGAGGGUAGUGGAAUUCCCGGUGUAGCGGUGAUAUGCGUAGAUAUCGGGAGGAACACCAGUGGCGAAGGCGACUACCUGGACGACACCUGACGCUGAGGUGCGAAAGCUCGGGGAGCAAACGGGAUUAGAUACCCCGGUAGUCCGAGCCGUAAACGAUGAGUGCUAGGUGUGGCGGGUAUCGACCCCCGCCGUGCCGGAGUUAACGCAAUAAGCACUCCGCCUGGGGAGUACGGCCGCAAGGCUGAA
rnacentral:rRNA from 1 species